GUUCUUCAAUCCUAACCCUAACCCUCCCCACCACCAUCUUUAUCUCUGCAAGCCUAGCCCCACCUCUACAACCCUAGCCCAACCUCUACAUCUCUUCCCAACCCAAAAUCAUAGCUCUCUCCACCACCAUCUCCACCUCCGCAACCCUAGCCCUAACCCUAACCCAAACCUUUGCCCUAACCUUAACCCUAACCCAACCGAUCAUCCUAACCCUAACCCAAUACAAACCCAUCUAUAAUAGAACUAACCCAACCACUCAAACUAACCAUAACCCAAAACCCAAUCCUAAUCCCA
rnacentral:lncRNA from 1 species